rnacentral:lncRNA from 1 species
AGUGCAUCAACAUGGACUUAUGAUGAUUUUGAAUCAUUGAGUGUUGAAGUGUUAGAACACUUCUAGAGACGGGAACUAGGCAAGGACUUCACCUUUGUGUCCCUAUCCUAAUCGUUCACUAAGUUUAUUGUAAACUAUGUAGUGUACAAUAAACACAUGCUCUCCAAAAUGUUUGAUGUGUAUAACACAAUUGAAAUAAGUUUCAAGAGAGAUGGUGGGAGUUUAGGGACCAUGACUAUUGUAGUCAAAAGAGAAGUCAAAUGAAGAAGAUAAAAUUAACUCCAAGGAAACAAACUUUCUUUAUGAAAGGAUGGACAUUGGAAGGGGUAUUUGCAAGAAAUGUCUUGCAAGUGUCAAGAACACACCUUUCGAAGGUGUUGUAAAUUGUUCUUGAAUAGUUCAAAACAGUUGGUUCUUCUACUUGAAUGUUUGAUUCCAUAUUAGUAACUAUGUUUUACAAUCGUUGUAAAAGUGUGGCUAAUAAGAAGUAGAAGAUUAAUGAGAGAAGAGAAAGUACUUCACAUUCGGAAAGUGAAUAAAAUAUAGAUUUCUGCGAAAGCAGAUGGUACUUACUUCCUCAUAUGAACUACCAAAGAAAUUGGAAAAACCAAAGAUUGUCUUUUCAUUCCAAUUUUAAGGAAUUUAAUUUCGUCACUAUAGUAGAGAUGGAUGAAUGUUUUGUUUGACAAAACAUUGUUCUUUAUUAAUCAAUGAUUGG